rnacentral:rRNA from 1 species
UACAGAGGUCCCAAGCGUUGUUCGGAUUCACUGGGCGUAAAGGGUGCGUAGGCGGUCGGGUAAGUCUGAUGUGAAAUCUCACAGCUUAACUGUGAAACUGCAUUGGAUACUAUCCGGCUCGAGGAAUGGAGGGGAGACUGGAAUACUUGGUGUAGCAGUGAAAUGCGCAGAUAUCAGGAGGAACACCAAUGGCGAAGGCAGCUCGCUGGGACGGUACUGACGCUGAGACGCGAAAGCGUGGGAGCAAACAGG